rnacentral:rRNA from 1 species
UACGGGGGGAGCAAGCGUUGUUCGGAUUUACUGGGCGUAAAGGGCGCGUAGGCGGCAAUUCAAGUCAUCUGUGAAAUCUCCGGGCUUAACUCGGAACGGUCAGAUGAUACUGCUUUGCUAGAGUGCGGAAGGGGCAAUCGGAAUUCUUGGUGUAGCGGUGAAAUGCGUAGAUAUCAAGAGGAACACCUGAGGUGAAGACGGGUUGCUGGGCCGACACUGACGCUGGGUGCGCGAAAGCCAGGGGAGCAAACGGG